rnacentral:rRNA from 1 species
AUACGGAGAGUGCGAGCGUUGUUCGGAAUCACUGGGCUUAAAGCGCGUGUAGGCGGGACGGUAAGUGCCGGGUGAAAGCCCUCGGCUCAACCGAGGAAUGGCCCGGCAUACUGUCGUCCUUGAGGCAGGUAGAGGUGGCUGGAACGACUGGUGGAGCGGUGAAAUGCGUAGAUAUCAGUCGGAACGCCGGAGGCGAAAGCGGGCCACUGGGCCUGUCCUGACGCUGAGACGCUAAAGCGUGGGGAGCGAACAGGAUUAGAUACCCUAGUAGUCC